rnacentral:lncRNA from 1 species
ACUUCCUGAUACCCUCGAUCGAAUUCGUCGGGUUUAAAAUAUGAUAUGCAUGUAAGCAAAAUGUCUUCUCUGAUUUUUGGAUUGCAAAUUUAAAAUUUACAUUGUCCAUUUCAGGUAGGGAUAAUCAUAACAAACCAUCGUACAAGUUCAGAAAUAUUUCAAACUUUCGACUGGGUAUAGUCUUUUCUGAACGGUGACUGAUCGAACUAUACACCAACAAAAGC